rnacentral:rRNA from 1 species
GAUGAACGCUGGCGGUAUGCUUAACACAUGCAAGUCGAACGGUCUUUUCGGAGAUAGUGGCGGACGGGUGAGUAACGCGUGAGAAUCUAGCUCUAGGUUUGGGACAACCACUGGAAACGGUGGCUAAUACCGGAUAUGCCGAAAGGUGAAGGGUUAACUGCCUGGAGAUGAGCUCGCGUCUGAUUAGCUAGUUGGUAGGGUAAAAGCUUACCAAGGCGACGAUCAGUAGCUGGUCUGAGAGGACGAUCAGCCACACUGGGACUGAGACAC